UAUACCUAGGUGUAUGAAGCACGAAAGUUUUUGAUACUUUAGGAAGUAGUUUAAAUCUAUUAGGUAUAA
rnacentral:tRNA from 1 species